UACACACAGAAUAGAGGGAUACAAGCUUCAGCUGCGCAAAACAAUACACACGACCUCCCCACCCCCCCUUCUGGUCGAUCUUCUUCUCCAAGUCGCCUUCCAUGGCUUUUUACUGAACAAAACAACAGACCUCCCCCAUUCAAUAGCUCAUCUCUUUGUUACUCUUUGAAAAUCCGUCGCUGACACCCCACACGACAGACCCCCUGAAACUAGCGACCCAAAACACGAGAAGCCAACGAGUUGGACUUUCUUCGCCUCAACCGCUAGUCAUCUCUCCAAGAACACCAUAGUAGCAGUCGUCUUUCUCCACCACCUAGCUCGCCGGAGAACAAACAAAGAGAAUGAUAACAAGAGGGAGAGGACGAGGGUUUAAUCCUAAUUUCUAAUCCUGCCCUUUCUGAUUUUUACGUUCUCGUUCAUGAAAACAUAAAACAAAGAAAAAAUUCUGCUUUCUUAAAUCUGAAAAUGCAUCUUAGUUUGUGAUUUUUGAUCUACUCUCAUUGAAUUGGUUUGCAUUUGAGGUGGUUUUCUGAUGGAAUACUGUCGAUUCUGAGUGAGUUUGCCGAUUGGAGAUUGUCGUUGCGAAAUCGAGUUUCGAUGUUGGUUCGCGGUACCGAUCUGAUUUUGGAGUUUUUGCUUGUCAAUACAUUGAAGAAAGUUCAUUUAAAGGCUCGUUUUACUUGUUUCAUUAAGUUUUUAGAUUUGGGAUCUGCUCCUACUCUAGAUGACUAAUUUGACGCUUGGAUGGUUUCUAUUUCGAAUCUUCUUUAUUGUGUUCUCUUAACUGAAUCAUGAGGCUAAUUUGAGUAAGAUGAGCUAAAAAUCAGUAGGAAUUCCUGGGAUGAUAGUGAUCAAGUUGUUGCAAAUCUGCUAACCAUGAAAUCCAAAUCUCUGAUUCACUGAAAUGCUUGAGCUUCUGCAGUUUUGUCACAAAUUCUCGAUUGCUGUCAAUAUCCGUCCAAUUUUCUUUCGUGAUUUUGUUUUGUUUCAUUUUUCAGUCAUUCUUUGGUUUGUUACGAGUAGAGUUUGAAGGCGAAGCUUAUUGUCUGUUCAUUAAUAUAGAGUUG
rnacentral:lncRNA from 1 species